rnacentral:misc_RNA from 1 species
GAUGAAGAACGUAGCGAAAUGCGAUAAUUAAUGUGAAUUGCAGAAUUCCGUGAAUCAUCGAGUCUUUGAACGCACAUUGCGCCUCAUGGCAUUCCGUGAGGCAUGCCCAUCUCAGCGUUAGAAAAUAUUCUCAAAUUUUAGUUUUGUGCUAAAAUUUGGAUCCUGUCAAGGAAGCUAUUACUAUUAUUGUGAUCGCUCUUUGGAAAUUGAUAGGUCUUUGAGUUGCUACUCAUAGAACGUGAUGAAUCUUUCUUCGUUCUAUUGUAAUUCACUCUGGUAGUCCUAAAACUUGUAUGCCUGUGGAAUAUCUUGUAAUUUGACCUGAGAUUGGGUAGGGAUACCCGCUGAACUUAAGCAUAUCAAUAAGCGGAGGA